CCUACGGGUGGCAGCAGUGAGGAAUAUUGGUCAAUGGGCGCGAGCCUGAACCAGCCAAGUCGCGUGAGGGAAGACGGUCCUAUGGAUUGUAAACCUCUUUUGUCGGGGAGCAAAAGACGCCACGCGUGGCGUUCCGAGAGUACCCGAAGAAAAAGCAUCGGCUAACUCCGUGCCAGCAGCCGCGGUAAUACGGAGGAUGCGAGCGUUAUCCGGAUUUAUUGGGUUUAAAGGGUGCGCAGGCGGCAGAUCAAGUCAGGGGUAAAAUGCAGAGGCUCAACCUCUUCGAGCCGUUGAAACUGGUGUGCUGGAGGGAGCGAGAAGUAUGCGGAAUGCGGGGUGUAGCGGUGAAAUGCAUAGAUAUCACGCAGAAAUCCGAUUGCGAAGGCAGCAUACAGGCGCUCAACUGACGCUCAUGCACGAAAGUGUGGGUAUCGAACAGGAUUAGUACCCCAGUAGUC
rnacentral:rRNA from 1 species